rnacentral:rRNA from 1 species
UAGGGUUCGAUUCUGGCUCAGGACGAACGCUGGCGGCGUGCUUAACACAUGCAAGUCGAACGAUGAAGCCGGAGCUUGCUCUGGUGGAUUAGUGGCGAACGGGUGAGUAAUACGUGAGCAACGUGCCCAGAACUCUGGAAUAACCGCGGGAAACCGUGGCUAAUACUGGAUAUGUGCCGGGGAGGCAUCUCCUCCGGUUGGAAAGAUUUAUCGGUUCUGGAUCGGCUCACGGCCUAUCAGCUUGUUGGUGAGGUAAUGGCUCACCAAGGCGACGACGGGUAGCCGGCCUGAGAGGGUGACCGGCCACACUGGGACUGAGACACGGCCCAGACUCCUACGGGAGGCAGCAGUGGGGAAUAUUGCACAAUGGGCGCAAGCCUGAUGCAGCAACGCCGCGUGAGGGAUGACGGCCUUCGGGUUGUAAACCUCUUUUAGUAGGGAAGAAGCGAGAGUGACGGUACCUGCAGAAAAAGCACCGGCUAACUACGUGCCAGCAGCCGCGGUAAUACGUAGGGUGCAAGCGUUGUCCGGAAUUAUUGGGCGUAAAGAGCUCGUAGGCGGUUUGUCGCGUCUGCUGUGAAAGCCCGAGGCUCAACCUCGGGUCUGCAGUGGGUACGGGCAGACUGGAGUGCGGUAGGGGAGAUUGGAAUUCCUGGUGUAGCGGUGGAAUGCGCAGAUAUCAGGAGGAACACCGAUGGCGAAGGCAGAUCUCUGGGCCGUUACUGACGCUGAGAGC